rnacentral:misc_RNA from 1 species
AUGCGAUAAGUAAUGUGAAUUGCAGAAUUCCGUGAAUCAUUAAAUCUUUGAACGCACAUUGCGCUCGUCAGUAUUCUGGCGAGCAUGUCUGUUUGAGAAUCAGUUUAAUUUAUCACUUUUUUUUGUUAACCGCAAGGUAAACCAUUAAGGUGGAUUUGGAUGCUUAUUGCUGUUAACCCAGCGAUUCAUCUUUAUAACAUUUGUUGCUGUUGAAAGUUUCCUUGUUGGAUCUUUUAACCGGAAGGCAUGACCAAUGAACGAAAGUUCUAAUGAUUGCUGAUAAAGGCUAAUUGACUAACUGAACUUUAUCUCAAGACUGCAACGUUAAAGCAUUAAACACGAAGACUUAACUUAGUCUUUAAGACUUGAUCUCAAAUCAGACAAGACUACCCGCUGAACUUAA